rnacentral:rRNA from 1 species
ACUCCUACGGGAGGCAGCAGUGGGGAAUAUUGCACAAUGGGCGCAAGCCUGAUGCAGCAACGCCGUGUGAGUGAAGAAGGUUUUCGGAUCGUAAAACUCUGUCCUAAGGGAAAGAAAAAUGACGGUACCUUAGGAGGAAGCCCCGGCUAACUACGUGCCAGCAGCCGCGGUAAUACGGUAGGGGGCAAGCGUUAUCCGGAAUCACUGGGCGUAAAGGGUGCGUAGGCGGCUUAGCAAGCCAGGGGUGAAAGGCAUUGGCUCAACCAAUGUAAGCCUUUGGAACUGUUAAGCUUGAGUGCAGGAGAGGUAAGUGGAAUUCCUAGUGUAGAGGUGAAAUUCGUAGAUAUUAGGAGGAACACCAGUGGCGAAGGCGACUUACUGGACUGUAACUGACGCUGAUGCACGAAAGCGUGGUAGCGAACAGGAUUAGAUACCCUGGUAGGUCAGUC